rnacentral:rRNA from 1 species
GAUGAACGCUGGCGGCGUGCCUAAUACAUGCAAGUCGAGCGAACGGACGAGAAGCUUGCUUCUCUGAUGUUAGCGGCGGACGGGUGAGUAACACGUGGAUAACCUACCUAUAAGACUGGGAUAACUUCGGGAAACCGGAGCUAAUACCGGAUAAUAUUUUGAACCGCAUGGUUCAAAAGUGAAAGACGGUCUUGCUGUCACUUAUAGAUGGAUCCGCGCUGCAUUAGCUAGUUGGUAAGGUAACGGCUUACCAAGGCAACGAUGCAUAGCCGACCUGAGAGGGUGAUCGGCCACACUGGAACUGAGACACGGUCCAGACUCCUACGGGAGGCAGCAGUAGGGAAUCUUCCGCAAUGGGCGAAAGCCUGACGGAGCAACGCCGCGUGAGUGAUGAAGGUCUUCGGAUCGUAAAACUCUGUUAUUAGGGAAGAACAUAUGUGUAAGUAACUGUGCACAUCUUGACGGUACCUAAUCAGAAAGCCACGGCUAACUGCGUG